GCUGGGUGUGGUGGCGCAUGCCUGUAGUUCCAGCUACUCAGAAGGCUGAGGUGGGAGAAUCUCCUGAGCCCAGGAAUUUGAGGCUGCAGUGAGCUGUGACUGUGCCACUGCAUUCCAGCCUGGGCAACAGUGUGAGACCCUGUCUCAA
ensembl:misc_RNA Metazoa_SRP Metazoan signal recognition particle RNA